CAGCUCUGAAACAAACUUUAAUUGGUUUCUUGUAGUUGAUUUAUGUUAUAUAUCGAACCUGAGUUCUCAAUUUUGGUGAGGCCAUUCAGAAACACAGCCCAUUAAUGUUAUAUUAAUUUCCUAAGAUAUUAAUUAAGAAUUAAAAAUUUGAGAAUUGAAUGCAAUUUGAAUAACUACAGUGAAGUGAAUUAAAGGAAAACAUUCGCAACUAUAAAAGCACCGACAUUGUCAUCGAGAGAAAAGAAGCCUUUUUCGUGAAGGAAAACGACAGCGGGUGAUGUUUUGCCGGUGGACAGUAAAACCUGUUUGAAAUCGUUUCUCUGCAAUGAACAACACCCUCUUUUCCUGUGGUUUUCACUUUGUCCCAAGAAAGCCGGUAAACGACAGGAGUGUGCAAUUUCGCUGUCGAAUUCUCAGCGGCGGUCCUUUUGAAGCGUCUCCACUUUCGGCCGGUUCCCGUCACAUUUGUCAAAAUUUGAUCGUUUCUCUUGCAAAAUAGCUGGAGGAAUUUCAACCUCGGCAUUGCAACAUAUUUUUGCUUAAAAAAUAAAAUUUAUUUACUGGGCUUGUCAAUCCCUCUAUGAUAACUGACCCUUUUCUUUAAAAAAUAAGAAAUAUAAUACAAUGUAUUUUUCAACCCUCGGAUGACGGUCCAUGGAGAGAGCACCAAGACAGCGAACCAUGGAGAGAAAAUUAAUUCUAUCGUAGCUCGAAUACUUUUUGUUAGUGUCGAAUAGUAUCAUAGUUUAUUAUUAGCUGGAACAGAGGACGUUCGUGAAAUAUCGACGAACAUUUUUCGGUCUGUCCGAAUGGGUCCGCGGUGUCCGCCACGAGGUGACAGGAAUUUAAACCGACUGUCCGUCGGCUUUAUUGUAAAUGCAACUUGUCUCCGAAGCAUUCUUCCAUUCUUCCGUUUGUCAUAGGAGAAACGCGGACGGGUCGGCAAAGGUGCCGCCAAAGGGAUCGUCGAGGAUUCACUGUCGUUCGUGUCUACCGCGGGAAAUUUUACUCGUUAAACCUACCGAACGGUAGGCCCGACUUCUCUUUCAAGGACCAUUUUUUUUUUUUUUUUGUCAAAAUCGCUCGCAUUACAAAAUUUUACAUGCUACAUUACGGGCUUUGACCUCGUCCUUGUAUCCAGGAGUGCAAAUACACCUGAAGAUGCACGUGGGCGAGUAGAAAGAAGGAAGGGCAACUGCUUGUAAAGAGCAGGGCUAGAAAUCGGGUGUGAUCGUUUAACUGCUCCCCCCAUAUGUUGAAGAUAUAAUGAGAGGCUGAAGAAGGCGGGCACUCGAUGAAAUGCUUUAUAGAUUACCUUCUCGUUCACGCCAUUGUUUCGAGCCGUGUUACUGGCCUGUUAGCGUGUCGAUCCUUUUCAAGGAAUCGUAUAAAGUAUUAUUGGAGCUCUUUGCUCUUUGUCGUAAUACUUUAUUAUCCAUUGAAUCAAAUUAUUUAUGUGGUGGAUAGGCAACUUCUCGUUAAAAAUUAUUUCAAAAUUUAUCACAGGAUACAAAG